rnacentral:lncRNA from 1 species
AUAGUUAAGCUGUUCAUUAAUGUUUCAGUGAUAAGAUUAGUCUUAGGUUAUAGUUAGAAUUAAUUUCCAUGUGUUUGUUAAUUAUAUUGAUGUAUUAGUUCAAUUCUUAGGAACUGUUUGCAUAUGGUUGAAUGCUCCAGCAAUGUUUUAUUUAACCAUGGUCAGUUCUGACCAAGAUUAAGGGGAUUGGAUUUAGUUUGACAUAGAUUAGUAAUUGUAGGACCAAUUCUAGGAUAGUUUAGGUAUUUUUAAACUAAAGAAUCCUGCACUAACUAAUUUGGAACCCACUAGAACAAUCUAGAUGGGGUUUUAAUUUAAAAUUCAUGAUUUAAAUGGUCUAACUUGAGUAACAAGUUAAGAACUAAGGGACUAAAUAGCUACAAUCUAAAAAAACAAAAGAGGGACUGAAUGCAAACUAAUUUUCAGCAAAAAUGCCCUAGUCCAUACCUAUAAAAGGCAUGCUAAAACCUGCCUUUAGGGGACUGAAAAAAAGGGAUAGGAAAUACGGAAUCAUUGGCGGCUGUAAAUUGACCAGGAAUUCUGACUGUCCUAUUGAAUUCUUAUUCUAAGGUGUAGGCUUGUUAUUCCAAAAGGAAAAAUCUAGUUCAAUUUUGAAAGAAUAGAUGGUGGAGUUUGAGUUUGAAAUGUUUGAUUCUUGAGAACUCGUUGGGUCAGCUGUCUGUGUGAAAUUGUUUUCCGGGCUGUAUUACCAUGUUUUUGAGUUCAAAUAAAUCCUUCUGCUAUCUAUUCUAUUAUUGUUGGAUUUGAGUCUAUGUGACUGGUUUUUGUUGCUGAUUCUGCUGUCUAUUUGCUGAUCAAUCACUCUUGCUUCUUUCCAUCUUCCAGGUAUUUUCCCUAGCUCAUAGUGGGAGACCAAUUGUUCAACUUGUAACAGUUGAAUGUGCUGAAAUGAAGACUGAGUUCAUGUUGACGUAUUCGUUUUACUCCCUUCUUGUUUUUAGUAUCUAGAUCUAGAAUUACUGAUGUGUAAGAGACUCCUAUAGAAUUUUCAUGGUGUGUAUUAAACUAAAAUUGGAAACCAUGGUUGUUAUGGUCUUGUUGCUUGUUAGCAUUUAGCUUUAGUACUUCUUAUCAGCAUGCAUAAAAUUAACAUCCAUACAGCAAUUUGAUUAGGAUUUAAUGUUAAGCUGUGUGUUUUAAAGAAUAUGGGAAUAAUCAGUAGCUUAAUUUAUAAGGGUGAUUUUUCUGGUCAUGCAUCUUCAUUAUUGCUAUCCCGUUGUAAAUAUUAGCUUAACUUCAUGGUUAUGGGUGUAACAUAUUAACACUGUGAUGAACUGAUUUUAAGAGGGUUAUUAGUUUAAUUGUUUUUGCAUUUUUAGUUUCGGACUUUCACUCUUGCAAUUUGCUCGUCAUGGUGUUAUGAAGAGGUGAAAUUAGUUUUAGAUACAUGUGGGAUGAGCAGCAAGUUUGAGCUAAGGAUGGAAAUGAUCUUUGCUCGAAUAUGGGCACAUUUUCAAGCCCAGGCAUCGACUAAAUGAAUUUGAAGGAAUUCUUUGCCUAAUGUGGGUCAAAAGGUCUAAAUCUGAAGAUAUAACUCUCACUUGCAUAUUCAUGGGUUGGCGUCAAUUUGCACUUAUAUUACUAUAGUUUGGACUAUUACCAUUGGAUCCGAACAACUUGGAUCGCAAGAACUAGGCCCAACGCUGGCCCAAUCACACCCAAACCCAGUUGUUAUUCACACUCAUAUUGGUCCACGAUGAUUGAUGUUAUUUGGAUGUCGUUAGCUCUGGGCCUUUGCUCCUUAUACCAUUUUGUAAUUUUACUGGUGUUGAUUCACAGGGUUUAACAUAUUUUGUUUGUUUAGGAAGCAAUACCAAUCCCUACAAAGUUUUAUUCAUUUAGCUGAGUCUCUUUAGUUGAUUAUGGAAUUGACUCAAUCAGAUAAUAAUAGUUUCUAGGUUCCUCUAAUUCCUUAAAAAUAAAUUGAGGUGCACUACUUAGCGAGUUUUCGUGGCCCUCGCAAACUUAAACAUACGAAAUUGCUUUAGGCCUCUUAGU